CCCGCACAAGCAGUGGAGUAUGUGGUUUAAUUCGAAGCAACGCGAAGAACCUUUACCAGGGCUUGACAUCCCUUGAAGCAGCUAGAGAUAGCUGUGUCCUUCGGGACAAGGAGACAGGUGGUGCAUGGUUGUCGUCAGCUCGUGUCGUGAGAUGUUGGGUUAAGUCCCGCAACGAGCGCAACCCCUGUGGUUAGUUGCCAGCAAGUAGCGUUGGGCACUCUAGCCAGACUGCCGGUGAUAAGUCGGAGGAAGGUGGGGACGACGUCAAAUCAUCAUGCCCUUUAUGUCCUGGGCUACACACGUACUACAAUGGCCGUUACAACGGGAAGCGAAGGAGCAAUCCGGAGCAAAUCCCUUAAAGGCGGUCCCAGUUCAGAUUGUGGGCUGAAACUCGCCCACAUGAAGGCGGAAUUGCUAGUAAUUGCAGAUCAGCAUGCUGCAGUGAAUACGUUCCCGGGCCUU
rnacentral:rRNA from 1 species